UACAGAGGGGGCGAGCGUUGUUCGGAAUUACUGGGCGUAAAGGGCGCGUAGGCGGCCUUCUAAGUCGAACGUGAAAUCCCCGGGCUCAACCCGGGAACUGCGUCCGAUACUGGAAGGCUUGAAUCCGGGAGAGGGAUGCGGAAUUCCAGGUGUAGCGGUGAAAUGCGUAGAUAUCUGGAGGAACUCCGGUGGCGAAGGCGGCAUACUGGUCCACUUCUGACGCUGGAGGCGACGAAGCGGUGGGGAGCAAACGGG
rnacentral:rRNA from 1 species